rnacentral:rRNA from 1 species
AUGGCCGGUGUCGAGUGCGGCGGUGGGGACUGGCCCUUCUCCGCCGAGGAAGCGUACGCCGAUUCCUCUGCGCUGUUGGCGGAGAUCGGCUGGGCGGCCGGUUUUGUCGACGACGGCUGCGCCGGGGAGCUGCUUCCGCCGCUGGAUCCGCCUCCGGCCACACCAACGGGGUCCAUGGAAGGGGCCGGCGCCUCGUCGAGCUCCACCGAUGACGGUGCCACGCGGGAGGCUGCAGACGCCGACGGCAGGCCGGCCGCCGCGACAGAGGCAGCGAGCAAGCCGGCGCCGGCGCUGGCCCCGGGGAAGACGAUGAAAAAGCAGAAGCGGGCGCGGCAGCCACGGUUCGCGUUCAUGACCAAGACGGAGAUAGACCACCUCGAGGACGGAUACCGCUGGAGGAAGUACGGACAGAAGGCCGUCAAGAACAGUCCUUUCCCAAGGAGCUACUACCGGUGCACCAACAACAAGUGCACGGUGAAGAAGCGCGUGGAGCGCUGCUCCGACGACCCCUCCGUUGUCAUCACCACCUACGAGGGCCAGCACUGUCACCACACCGUCACCUUCCCCCGCGGCGCCGGCGCCGCCACCCUCGCCAGCCAGAUGGCCUUCUCGGCACACCACCACCACCUCAUGUACAACGACUUGCCGGCGCUGCACUCGCCGACCACUCAAAACCCACUCUUCAGCGUGCCGGCGAUGUCGUCGUCGCUGCUCCAGCCGCUACACUGCAACCGACAGGAGCUGCAACUUGCAAGCUACACAACCCAGGCAUCGUCCAUCUCGUCGCCAGGGAGUGUUCCCGCCGUCGAUAAGGGGCUUCUGGAUGACAUGGUGCCUCCAGCGAUGAGGCACGGAUAG